GGAAUUGACGGGGAGCACCACAACGGGUGGAGCUUGCGGUUUAAUUGGAUCCAACGCCGGAAAUCUUACCGGGACCGACAGCAAUAUGAAGGCCAGGCUGAAGACUUUGCCGGAUUAGCUGAGAGGUGGUGCAUGGCCGUCGUCAGUUCGUACUGUGAAGCAUCCUGUUAAGUCAGGCAACGAGCGAGACCCACGCCCACAGUUGCCAGCGUACUCUCUGGAGUGACGGGUACACUGUGGGACCGCCGCUGCUAAAGCGGAGGAAGGAAUGGGCAACGGUAGGUCAGUAUGCCCCGAAUAUCCCGGGCUACACGCGAGCUACAAUGGUUGGUACAAUGGGUAUCUACCCCGAAAGGGGACGGGAAUCUCCUAAAACCAAUCUUAGUUCGGAUUGAGGGCUGCAACUCGCCCUCAUGAAGCUGGAAUCCGUAGUAAUCGCGUUUCAACAGAACGCGGUGAAUACGUCCCUGCUCCUU
rnacentral:rRNA from 1 species